rnacentral:rRNA from 1 species
CGGGAGGCAGCAGUGAGGAAUAUUGGACAAUGGGCGCAAGCCUGAUCCAGCCAUGCCGCGUGCAGGAAGACUGCCCUAUGAGUUGUAAACUGCUUUUAUAUAGGAAGAAACCUUGGUACGUGUACCAAGCUGACGGUACUAUAAGAAUAAGGAUCGGCUAACUCCGUGCCAGCAGCCGCGGUAAUACGGAGGAUCCAAGCGUUAUCCGGAAUCAUUGGGUUUAAAGGGUCCGUAGGUGGAUAAUUAAGUCAGAGGUGAAAUCUUGCAGCUCAACUGUAAAAUUGCCUUUGAUACUGGUUAUCUUGAGUUAUUAUGAAGUAGUUAGAAUAUGUAGUGUAGCGGUGAAAUGCAUAGAUAUUACAUAGAAUACCAAUUGCGAAGGCAGAUUACUAAUAAUCAACUGACACUGAUGGACGAAAGCGUGGGUAGCGAACAGGAUUAGAUACCCUGGUAGUCCACGCCGUAAACGAUGGUUACUAGCUGUUUGGACCUUGUGUCUGAGUGGCUAAGCGAAAGUGAUAAGUAACCCACCUGGGGAGUAUGUUCGCAAGAAUGAAACUCAAAGGAAUUG